rnacentral:rRNA from 1 species
GAUGAACGCUAGCGGCAGGCCUAAUACAUGCAAGUCGAACGGGAUCCAGAUCAAAGCUUGCUUUGGUCUGGUGAGAGUGGCGCACGGGUACGUAACGCGUGAGCAACCUACCCUUGUCAGAGGGCUAGCCCGGCGAAAGUCGGAUUAAUACCGCAUGACAUCAUUGAGAGGCAUCUUUCGAUGAUCAAAGAUUUAUCGGACAAGGAUGUGCGCGCGUGACAUUAGCUAGUUGGUAAGGUAACGGCUUACCAAGGCUGCAAUGUCUAGGGGCUCUGAGAGGAGAAUCCCCCACACUGGUACUGAGACACGGACCAGACUCCUACGGGAGGCAGCAGUAAGGAAUAUUGGUCAAUGGACGGAAGUCUGAACCAGCCAUGCCGCGUGCAGGAAGACGGCCCUAUGGGUUGUAAACUGCUUUUAUACGGGAACAAACGUCGGUACGUGUACCGGUCUGAGUGUACCGUAAGAAUAAGGAUCGGCUAACUCCGUG